rnacentral:misc_RNA from 1 species
AAAUGGUGUUCCCUUCUUCCAGUGAAAACAGUGAUAUGUGACAAGGAAAUGAGCGAGAUUGACAAUAGUCCAUGCCAUGCCGGAUGAGGACCCAAAAACAGAGAGCACAACGAGCCAUGAGAAGAGCAGAAUGAAUAUGUAAAUAGUCCAAACUCCAGGAUAGGUGAACCACUCAGUAUUCCGAUUCAGAUCCGUGGUUGGAGCAGCCCUCACAUACAAAUUCGCCAUCCAAAUGGAUUGAACAAUACUUUCAACCCAAUCGAAAAAAGUUAUCAAUACAAAACUUGAAGAAGAAACAAUUGGAUAUGGCGAUUAAUAUCGCAUUAGUAUGAGUAUUUGAUCAACGAAAAAACAGAGACUCACGAAAACGAAGAGGGGAUAGGUGGCUGCUAUGGGUAGGGGUGGUGGGACCGCUGAGCCGUAGAGGGGAAAU